rnacentral:rRNA from 2 species
UUUAGUCAGGCAACGAGCGAGACCCACGCCCACAGUUGCCAGCGUACUCUCCGGAGUGACGGGUACACUGUGGGGACCGCCGCUGCUAAAGCGGAGGAAGGAAUGGGCAACGGUAGGUCAGUAUGCCCCGAAUAUCCCGGGCUACACGCGAGCUACAAUGGUUGGUACAAUGGGUAUCUACCCCGAAAGGGGAUGGAAAUCUCCUAAAACCAAUCUUAGUUCGGAUUGAGGGCUGCAACUCGCCCUCAUGAAGCUGGAAUCCGUAGUAAUCGCGUUUCAACAGAACGCGGUGAAUACGUCCCUGCUCCUUGCACA